rnacentral:lncRNA from 1 species
GGCACUGUAAUUGUUCCCACGGUAGCUCGGCAAUAAUUAAAGAACACAGAGGAUUUUUACGUGGAAAAAUUCCAACUCAAGGGGAUAAAAACCAUGACCUAUACUUGUAGGCUUUCAACUACACUAACUUGUAAAACCCCCUAUUACAACUCACGUUGUAAUAACCCUUAUAAAGGAUUCAACUUAACUAACUUGUGGUACUCUCACCACAAGCCAUUUUGUGACUCUCUAGUUACAAAGACUUUGACUAACUUGUGAUACUCUCACCACAAGCCACUUUGUAAUAACUAUAUUACAAAGACUUCAAUCAUCCUAACUUGUAAUAAUACUAUUACAAAUCACUUUAUAACUCUUUAAUUACAAAGACUUUAACUUAUGACUAAGCCUAGCCACAACAUAAACUGGAGAGUUUACGGAUUUUGGGUUUCCUUAAAAUAACUUCUAAAAAGCAAGAUAUGUGUUACAAUGAAGAACAAAUAACAAAGACUCAACAAACCUAAAGACUUAACAUAUCUUCAAUCUUGGAUCCGGUCCUUGAGGUUGAAGCAGCUUUGUUGUUGAGAGAGGUUAUGGCAAGCACUUGAGAGAGGAUUUUCAUUUAUGAUUUUGCA